rnacentral:rRNA from 1 species
AGCGAACGCUGGCGGCAGGCUUAACACAUGCAAGUCGAGCGGGCGUAGCAAUACGUCAGCGGCAGACGGGUGAGUAACACGUGGGAACGUACCUUUUGGUUCGGAACAACACAGGGAAACUUGUGCUAAUACCGGAUAAGCCCUUACGGGGAAAGAUUUAUCGCCGAAAGAUCGGCCCGCGUCUGAUUAGCGAGUUGGUAGGGUAAUGGCCUACCAAGGCGACGAUCAGUAGCUGGUCUGAGAGGAUGAUCAGCCACAUUGGGACUGAGACACGGCCCAAACUCCUACGGGAGGCAGCAGUGGGGAAUAUUGGACAAUGGGGGCAACCCUGAUCCAGCCAUGCCGCGUGAGUGAUGAAGGCCCUAGGGUUGUAAAGCUCUUUUGUGCGGGAAGAUAAUGACGGUACCGCAAGAAUAAGCCCCGGCUAACUUCGUGCCAGCCGCCGCAGUAA